UCAACCUUGGAAAUGUAAAGGAAAAAAUAGACUCUCCCUUUAAGACUCUGACAGAGUGGGUCAGAGUGGAACAAACUUGCCUGGCUCCCAUUCACAUCUCGAAGAAGCCUCAUCUGAACUAGGGUAGAGUGACAGUGGCAGGUUUGGCACCUCUAGUGCUGGCACAAGCUACAACAAAGAAAUACGGACAACGGUUAUCUUUUUUUUUUUUUUGUCAUUUAUAAACUCAUCUCAUAUUGGGAACUCACAAAGCCCCAGACGUACCUCAGGGGAAGGGGAUUGACUUAGAAAAAGCUUCCUGAAUUAAAGAAGAUGAGACUCAGGUUCUCCAGCUUCAGAAAUGAAGCCGACAUGACAUCCUGCUGGAGCAUGAACUGGGCACCAACCCGUCUUCUGCGCUAGCCCACCGCCAGCUCACCAACCCUGCGCAGGGCCGGGCUGCAGUGCCUGGGCAGGGAUGGGGCUGCGGGAGGUGACCGUGAAGCAGCGGGACACUGGCAGCCACCCCAGCUUUGGGGAAGUGCUAUAACUUCCCACUGGUGGGAAGC